UUCAGGAAGGUGAUAGUAGAAGAUGUAAAAACACAUUCAGUUGCAGCUGGGAGAGGAAGGAAAUGCUGGGAAGGUAACUGAUAACAGGCUUUCGUACCCUUCUCUCCAGCAACAUCAGAUUUUGUGUGGAUCAGACUAUAGACUGCCUUCUUCAAAUAUUCAAAUCAAAGUCCAAAUUGAGAUUCUCCUGCGCAGGAAUGGAACCAGAAUCGGUGAUUCAGUUCUUCCACCCUUUAAAAUGCCAAGCGUGACUACAUUCCUCUAUCACAGAGAUGGUACAGUGAUUACUGUAGCGCAUCAUUUAUCCAAACAGCCUGGAGGACCAUUGGAAUAAUCAGAAGCUCAGAUAAACAGCAGUGCUCUUUACAAGGAUUUGCCAUGAGUCAGGCAUCUACCCGGUGUAGAGAAACAGAGAAGGGAUUGCAGGCAUCCUCCUGUAAAACAUCAAAACAAAGGAAGCACACAAUAUGCUCUAAAUUUCACCCUGCCUUUUAAAAUGAAUUGAAAUGAUUACUUCCUGGGGUAUGUGUGUUUUACAUUGCCUAGUAUGAAAUAUUUGAUAUCAUAACGAAUUUAGAAACCUUCUAAUUGAUUCCUGUAACAGAUUUGCAUGUGCAUUUUUCCGACCCUUGAUGAUGGCGGCUGGUUUUUGAAGUGUCGUGGGACUAACUGGUAACUUUGUUUAUGUAUUUUAUCUGUGAUUAACUCGUUUCACUUUGUUUUAGGACCCAGGAUAAAAAAGCCUGGUUGGUCACAAGGAUGUUUCACCUGUAAUGUGCAAGGUGGAUUAGCAUAGUG